rnacentral:rRNA from 1 species
AACGCUGGCGGCGUGCUUAACACAUGCAAGUCGAACGAUGAAGCUUAGCUUGCUAGGUGGAUUAGUGGCGAACGGGUGAGUAACACGUAGGUAAUCUGCCCUGCACUUUGGGAUAAGCCUGGGAAACUGGGUCUAAUACCGAAUAGGACAUGUCAUCUUUGGGUGGUGUGUGGAAAGCUUUUGCGGUGUGGGAUGAGCCUGCGGCCUAUCAGCUUGUUGGUGGGGUAAUGGCCUACCAAGGCGUCGACGGGUAGCCGGCCUGAGAGGGUGUACGGCCACAUUGGGACUGAGACACGGCCCAGACUCCUACGGGAGGCAGCAGUGGGGAAUAUUGCACAAUGGGCGAAAGCCUGAUGCAGCGACGCCGCGUGGGGGAUGAAGGCCUUCGGGUUGUAAACUCCUUUCGCUAGGGACGAAGAGAAAUUGACGGUACCUGGAGAAGAAGCACCGGCUAACUACGUGCCAGCAGCCGCGGUAAUACGUAGGGUGCGAGCGUUGUCCGGAAUUACUGGGCGUAAAGAGCUCGUAGGUGGUUUGUCGCGUCGUCUGUGAAAUCCCGGGGCUUAACUCCGGGCGUGCAGGCGAUACGGGCAUAACUUGAGUGCUGUAGGGGAGACUGGAAUUCCUGGUGUAGCGGUGAAAUGCGCAGAUAUCAGGAGGAACACCAAUGGCGAAGGCAGGUCUCUGGGCAGUAACUGACGCUGAGG